GACGGAGGGUGCGAGCGUUGUUCGGAUUGACUGGGCGUAAAGGGCGUGUAGGCGGUCGGCCAAGUCUGAUGUGAAAGCCCGAGGCUCAGCCUCGGAAGUGCGUCGGAAACUAGUCGGCUGGAGCGCGAUAGAGGAGGGUGGAAUUCCUGGUGUAGCGGUGAAAUGCGUAGAUAUCAGGAGGAACACCGGCGGCGAAGGCGGCCCUCUGGAUCGUUGCUGACGCUGAGACGCGAAAGCGUGGGGAGCAAAC
rnacentral:rRNA from 1 species